UGUGAACUCGAAGAGUAGGGCGGGACACGUGGUAUCCUGUCUGAAUAUGGGGGGACCAUCCUCCAAGGCUAAAUACUCCUGACUGACCGAUAGUGAACCAGUACCGUGAGGGAAAGGCGAAAAGAACCCCGGCGAGGGGAGUGAAAAAGAACCUGAAACCGUGUACGUACAAGCAGUGGGAGCACCUUCGGGUGUGACUGCGUACCUUUUGUAUAAUGGGUCAGCGACUUAUAUUCUGUAGCAAGGUUAACCGUAUAGGGGAGCCGCAGGGAAACCGAGUCUUAACUGGGCGUUAAGUUGCAGGGUAUAGACCCGAAACCCGGUGAUCUAGCCAUGGGCAGGUUGAAGGUUGGGUAACACUAACUGGAGGACCGAACCGACUAAUGUUGAAAAAUUAGCGGAUGACUUGUGGCUGGGGGUGAAAGGCCAAUCAAACCGGGAGAUAGCUGGUUCUCCCCGAAAGCUAUUUAGGUAGCGCCUCGUGAACUCAUCUUCGGGGGUAGAGCACUGUUUCGGCUAGGGGGUCAUCCCGACUUACCAACCCGAUGCAAACUACGAAUACCGAAGAAUGUUAUCACGGGAGACACACGGCGGGUGCUAACGUCCGUCGUGAAGAGGGAAACAACCCAGACCGCCAGCUAAGGUCCCAAAGUCAUGGUUAAGUGGGAAACGAUGUGGGAAGGCACAGACAGCCAGGAUGUUGGCUUAGAAGCAGCCAUCAUUUAAAGAAAGCGUAAUAGCUCACUGGUCGAGUCGGCCUGCGCGGAAGAUGUAACGGGGCUAAACCAUGCACCGAAGCUGCGGCAGCGACACUAUGUGUUGUUGGGUAGGGGAGCGUUCUGUAAGCCUGCGAAGGUGUGCUGUGAGGCAUGCUGGAGGUAUCAGAAGUGCGAAUGCUGACAUAAGUAACGAUAAAGCGGGUGAAAAGCCCGCUCGCCGGAAGACCAAGGGUUCCUGUCCAACGUUAAUCGGGGCAGGGUGAGUCGACCCCUAAGGCGAGGCCGAAAGGCGUAGUCGAUGGGAAACAGGUUAAUAUUCCUGUACUUGGUGUUACUGCGAAGGGGGGACGGAGAAGGCUAUGUUAGCCGGGCGACGGUUGUCCCGGUUUAAGCAUGUAGGCUGGUUAUCCAGGCAAAUCCGGAUAAUCAAGGCUGAGGUGUGAUGACGAGGCACUACGGUGCUGAAGUAACAAAUGCCCUGCUUCCAGGAAAAGCCUCUAAGCAUCAGGUAACAUCAAAUCGUACCCCAAACCGACACAGGUGGUCAGGUAGAG
rnacentral:rRNA from 1 species